rnacentral:rRNA from 1 species
GACGAACGCUGGCGGCGUGCCUAACACAUGCAAGUGGAGCGACGAACCAGGGCUUGCCCUGGAGCAAAGCCGCGAACGGGUGAGUAACACGUGGGUAACGUGCCCCGAUGACCGGGACAACCCGAGGAAACUCGAGCUAAUACCGGAUGUGCUCCUCACACAUCAGUGUGAGAAGCAAAGGAAGCUUCGGCCUCCGCAUCGGGAGCGGCCCGCGGCCCAUUAGCAGUUGGUGAGGUAACGGCUCACCAAGGCUGCGAUGGGUAGCUGGCCUGAGAGGACGAUCAGCCACACUGGGACUGAGACACGGCCCAGACUCCUACGGAGGCAGCAGUGGGGAAUCUUGCGCAAUGCGCGAAAGCGUGACGCAGCAACG